UAAGAUGCAAUCUUGUGUUAUAAGUAUUAGGCUAUCAUGAUUAUACAGUGAGCAAGCUAUAUAAAUAAGUAUUUAAUAUAAUAAAAGUGUAGAGCAACAACCGAGGGUGUAAGGUAAAGGCUGAAUAUUGUAGAUUUAUUACAAUAUGUUGCAUGUUUGAAUUAAAAUACCUGUGGAUAUGCAGGAGCACACACUCUACAAAGGCCUGACUGGAGAUUUGCCUGAUCUAUCCGUCCUUCAGAUGACAGCGGCUCGCUUCAAGAGCAGGUGAAGCAAGUUGGGACAAUGUUGAAGACAUUUGCUCGCACUGGGCAAUCAGGUGCAGAUCAAACCCUAAUGCUGCGACGUCUUGG